GCGAGAGUAGCUCAGUGGUAGAGCCCCACCUUGCCAAGGUGGUUGUCGAGGGUUCAAAUCCCUUCUCUCGCUCCA
rnacentral:tRNA from 1 species